AGUUUUAGAUUCUGAUGAUAUUGCCCGGUAUAUCAGUGGACGUCGUUUGUUGGCAAGUACCUCGUGGGAUAAAGUGGAUUUUGUUCUUAUUCCACUAAACAUUAAAGAGAAUCGUCACUGGAUUUUUGUGGUGUUUGAUAUUGGGCAAAGGUCAUUGGAGGUGUAUGAUUCAUUUCCGGCUAGGGGUGGGGUGAAUUUAGAGUGAGAUAAAUGAGUUCGAGAAAAUUGAGUUUCAUUUCAUAACUAAAGAUGUUCCCAGACAAAAUGAGGAUUCACUGGAUUGUGGAGUUUUCGUUGCUGCAUUUGCGGAGUUUGUAAGUAAUGGCCAACAUUUUCAAAAUCAACAAGUAAAGGCAGACAUUGUCCGAAAGAGAUUUGGAGCUAUA